rnacentral:rRNA from 1 species
AUGAGGUUUGCAAUGGCGAACAAGGCAUACAUGGCGGUGACUCUGGGAGCGGCCAUGGAGCUCAAGGAGCAGGUGGCCAAGCCGUGCUCGGCGGCGGCGAAGCGGGGCCUGCCGGUGGUGGCUGUCCGGUCGUCGGCCGUCAAGGUCGAUGCCGCCGAGGAGUCGCUGAGGAUGGUCAUGUACCUCAGCUGCUGGGGCCCAUGUUAG